ACUGCGAGGAGAGACCAGUCGGUAGAGGAGAAGUCGAGGUUAGAGGGAACUGGGAGGCACUUUGCUGUCUUCAAUCGAAGUUGAGGGUGCAAAAAUGCAGAGUAAUAAAACUUUUAACUUGGAGAAGCAAAACCAUACUCCAAGAAAGCAUCAUCAACAUCACCACCAGCAGCAGCACCACCAGCAGCAACAGCAGCAGCCGCCACCACCGCCAAUACCUGCAAAUGGGCAACAGGCCAGCAGCCAAAAUGAAGGCUUGACUAUUGACCUGAAGAAUUUUAGAAAACCAGGAGAGAAGACCUUCACCCAACGAAGCCGUCUUUUUGUGGGAAAUCUUCCUCCCGACAUCACUGAGGAAGAAAUGAGGAAACUAUUUGAGAAAUAUGGAAAGGCAGGCGAAGUCUUCAUUCAUAAGGAUAAAGGAUUUGGCUUUAUCCGCUUGAACUACAUGUGAUUUAUUGCAAGGUCAUCAGAAGCAAACUAGGGUGGCCAAAGAGCACACAGUUAAGUUCUUUCACUUCUGUUUCUUUGUAUGGUUUAGUUUUU
rnacentral:sRNA from 1 species